rnacentral:lncRNA from 1 species
CCAGACCGCCCCAAGUACUUGGGCCCAUUCUCUGAGCAAACUCCAUCAUACCUGACCGGUGAAUUCCCUGGUGACUAUGGGUGGGACACUGCUGGGUUAUCAGCAGAUCCUGAGACAUUCGCCAAGAACCGUGAGCUCGAGGUCAUUCACUGCAGAUGGGCAAUGCUUGGUGCACUGGGUUGUGUCUUCCCUGAGAUUCUUUCAAAGAAUGGUGUCAAAUUUGGUGAGGCUGUCUGGUUCAAGGCUGGAGCUCAGAUCUUCUCAGAGGGCGGUCUCGACUACCUUGGCAACCCCAACCUUGUUCAUGCCCAGAGCAUCCUUGCAAUCUGGGCCUGCCAAGUUGUGCUCAUGGGAUUCGUUGAAGGAUACCGUGUUGGUGGAGGCCCACUUGGUGAGGGACUGGAUGCAAUUUACCCAGGUGGGGCUUUUGACCCACUUGGUUUGGCA